AGCAGUGGGGAAUAUUGCACAAUGGGCGAAAGCCUGAUGCAGCGACGCCGCGUGAGGGAAGAAGGUUUUCGGAUUGUAAACCUCUGUCUUCGGGGACGAUAAUGACGGUACCCGAGGAGGAAGCCACGGCUAACUACGUGCCAGCAGCCGCGGUAAAACGUAGGUGGCAAGCGUUGUCCGGAAUUACUGGGUGUAAAGGGAGCGCAGGCGGGUGUGCAAGUUGAAUGUGAAAGCCAUAGGCUCAACCUAUGGACUGCGUUCAAAACUGCGCAUCUUGAGUGAUGUAGAGGCAGGCGGAAUUCCCGGUGUAGCGGUGGAAUGCGUAGAUAUCGGGAGGAACACCAGUGGCGAAGGCGGCCUGCUGGGCAUUAACUGACGCUGAGGCUCGAAAGUAUGGGGAGCAAACAGGAUUAGAUACCCUGGUAGUCCAUACUGUAAACGAUGAUCACUAGGUGUGGGGGGAUAGACCCCCUCCGUGCCGGAGCUAACGCAAUAAGUGAUCCACCUGGGGAGUACGGUCGCAAGAUUGAAACUCAAAGGAAUUGACGGGGGCCCGCACAAGCAGUGGAGUAUGUGGUUUAAUUCGACGCAACGCGAAGAACCUUACCAGGUCUUGACAUCGGAUGCAUAGCGCAGAGAUGCGUGAAGUCUUCGGACAUCCAGACAGGUGGUGCAUGGUUGUCGUCAGCUCGUGUCGUGAGAUGUUGGGUUAAGUCCCGCAACGAGCGCAACCCUUAUCGUCAGUUACUACGCAAGAGGACUCUGGCGAGACUGCCGUUGACAAAACGGAGGAAGGUGGGGAUGACGUCAAAUCAUCAUGCCCUUUAUGACCUGGGCUACACACGUACUACAAUGGCCGUAAACAGAGAGAAGCGAAGUGGCGACGCGGAGCAAAACUCAGAAAAACGGUCUCAGUUCGGAUUGGAGGCUGCAACCCGCCUCCAUGAAGCCGGAAUUGCUAGUAAUCGCGGAUCAGCAUGCCGCGGUGAAUACGUUUCCCCGGGCCUUGUACACACCGCCCGUCACACCAUGAGAGCCGGGGGGGACCCGAAGUCGGUAGCCUAACCGUAAGGAGGGCGCC
rnacentral:rRNA from 1 species